rnacentral:misc_RNA from 1 species
GAAUGAAUGUUUGUUGAUGUAUUAUAGUUGAUCCCAGCAAAAAUUCUUUGGCUCCGCCCCUGACUAGAAGUUCCUUGUAGGUCCUUGGAAAAUACAAAUCUAGUUUCCGUUAGGUUCACCAACUGCUCCAUAAAAUGUUCUUAUAUUGCCAUAAAAUAAAUUGUGCCUGAAUCACAUUUGAUUUCAUAGAAUCUUAUUCCCUGAGAAAUAUUUGUCUCUUCAGCUAUCUUGUAUCCUUGUGUUGCUAUUCUCUGUUCAUCGCUGUUUUGCUAUUCUCUGUUUUUCCAACAUAGUAUGGAGUUAACUGCUUUACAACAUUGAACGCCUAGGGGAAACAAAGAAAGGUUUAAAGUCUAUUUUACUUUCUGAAUUUGGCAU